rnacentral:rRNA from 1 species
GGAGUUAGCCGGUGCUUCUUCUGUGAGUGAUGUCCUUCCUGCCGGCUAUUAACCCGCAGGCCUUCUUCCUCACUGAAAGUGCUUUACAACCCGAAGGCCUUCUUCACACACGCGGCAUGGCUGGAUCAGGGUUGCCCCCAUUGUCCAAUAUUCCCCACUGCUGCCUCCCGUAGGAGUCUGGGCCGUGUCUCAGUCCCAGUGUGGCUGAUCAUCCUCUCAGACCAGCUACGGAUCGUCGCCUUGGUGAGCCGUUACCUCACCAACCAGCUAAUCCGACAUAGGCUCAUCCGAUAGCGCGAGGCCCGAAGGUCCCCCGCUUUCCCCCGUAGGGCGUAUGCGGUAUUAGCCUGGGUUUCCCCAGGUUAUCCCCCACUACCGGGCAGAUUCCUAUGCAUUACUCACCCGUCCGCCGCUCGCCACCAGGGAGCAAGCUCCCCGUGCUGCCGCUCGACUUGCAUGUGUUAGGCCUGCCGCCAGCGUUCAAUCUGAGCCAGNANACACUNACNCGUGNGGCGUGCGACGACGGCGCUAG